UAUAUACGUACUGAUGAAGCUCGUAUAAUAGCAGGAAUAUGGCCUGCAAGUUUCUACCGGGUAACCGUAAAUUGCCCGACUACGAGUAAGCGAACAGUUAGA
rnacentral:ncRNA from 1 species